rnacentral:lncRNA from 1 species
ACCUGCAGCAUAUGGAGGUUCCCAGGCUAGGGGUCUAAUUUAAGCUACAGUUGCCAGCUUACGCCAAAGCCACAGCACCGCCAGAUCCGAGCCGUAUCUGCAACCUACACCACAGCUCACAGCAACACCAGAUCCUUAACCCACUGAUUGAAGCCAGGAAUCGAACCUGCAACCUCAUAGUUGCUAGUUGGAUUCAUUUCCGAUACACCAAGAUGGGGACUCCAUAAGCUCAUUUUUAAAUGAAUCACCAUUAGCCCUAAAUUUCUUACUGAAAAUAUGGAAAGACAAAGACUUACAGUUCUAAACCUUGAUAAAUCUAUGAAAGUGAUGACCACAUAAAUUAACCUACAAAUGUCAAAAAGCAACCAUUAAUUCAAUAAUUUAUCCAACAACUACACUAUGUGCCCAGCAUUUUAUGUCAGGCAGCCAAAAUAACAUAAAUAAUAUCUAUCCUCAAGAAAAGCACAAAUAUGACAGGAGAAUCACAUGAGUGAAUAACCAAACAUGAUUGGCAAGGCAAACAAAAUCUUACAGGCAAACAGAAGAUGACUGAAAUUGGAAGUCAUGUUCGCAGACUGAGACGACAAGUGAUCUGGUUGCAUAGGAAUGUGGAGUAAGAUGUGGGGGCUGAGAGGGUGUUAAGCCCAAACUGUCAGAGAAAGGCAUGAUGAGCAGAGGAUACAGCAUGAGCAAAGGUAGAGAAGAAUACACAUAUACAAAAGUGAGAGAUAAAAACUUAAAUAACAUUACAUUACUUUGAGAUGGAUAUCCUUUUUUAUAAAACAUUCUUACAAAAUAAUUUUAACCAAAGAUUAUUUUCUUAGACACCUAAAAUUCUAGGACUAGCCUAACAUUUAUGAAGUAGUCCUAGGGAAAUAACUCAAUAUGCUGUUAUCUAAAAUAAACAGAACAGAGAGUUCCCAUCGUGGCAAUAGCAGGUAAAUGAAUCCAAUUAGGAACCAUGAGGUUACCGGUUUGAUCCCUGGCCUCGCUCAGCGGGUCAAGUAUCCAGCAUUGCAGUGAGCUAUGGUGUAGUCGCAGAUGUGGCUCAGAUCUGGUGGUGCUGUGGCCGUGGCGUAGGCCGGCCGCUACAGCUCCCACUUGACCCCUAGUCUGGGAACUUCCAUACACUGCAGGUGCAGCCCUAAAAAGACAAAAGAAAAGAGAAGAGAAAAGAAAAGAAAUUUAAUCUUACAUCAUUUCCUUUAAUAUUUAAGCUCAAGUCAAAACCACACAAGCAACAGCUUCAAAUCCUUACCUUUCAUUGCUACCAUUUUCAUGAGCCUCACAUCAGUUAUUCUAAAACUCCUAAAUUUAAAUUCUUUCAUAGCUAUAAAUUUGGCUUCUCAAAAGGAACCAUAAAUUUCCUUAAGAGCAAAAACCAUAAUUUAAUACCUUUGAAGGUCCCAACAUAAAUCUAGAAACAUAGAAGAUACCCAAUUAAAUAUUUAUUGACUAACUGUUUACUGAGAUUGGAAUUUUUACGUUUUUAAAGAACAUGCUACCUUAAAACAUACUUAAUAUUACAUAGUUUUGCAGCUUUUCAUUCUAAGAAAACCUUGAUAAGAAACUUGAUAAGAAAACCAGAAAAUGGCUGGGAAUUACUAUUCUGAGAAAUUCUAAUCUGCCUGCCAUCAUAACCCAGUAUUAGGUUUGGUUACAAUUUUUGCCCUACUGAGACAAUUUUAUUAGUCCACCAGCUAACUCACAGUAACCACAUAAGAAACACUGCGAGUAAUGUUUACAACUCUGACUUCACACGUUAAGCCAAAACUCUAAAUAAAAUAAUGCAACCCUGAAGUUUAGAUGUUUCCAUGCUUUGCAAUUCUCACACGACCAUGAAAAACUUUAAAAAAAAAAAAAAUAAAAUAAAUAUAACUGGUAUUAUAAAUGCACUUAAGGAGUUCCCGUCAUGGCUCAGUGGUUAACGAAUCUGACUAGGUUCGAUCCCUGGCCUUGCUCAGUGGGUUACGGAUCUGGUGUUGCCAUGAGCUGUGGUAUAGGUUGCAGAUGUGGCUCGGAACCCGAGUUGCUGUGGCUGUGGUGUAGGCCGGUGGCUACAGCUCCAAUUCAACCCCUAGACUGGGAACCUCCAUAUGCCAUGGGAGCAGCCCAAGAAAUGGUAAAAAGACCAAAAAAAAAAAAAUGCACUUAAGCAAUUUCAAUAAAUGAUCACUUUAAAAACAUGGGUAGGGAAGUUCCCAUUGCAGCUCAGUAGGUUAAGAACCCAACUAGGAUCCAUGAGAAUGUGCUGAUCCCUGGCCUGACUCAGUGGGUUUAAAGGAUCCGGCAUUGCCUUGAGCUGUGGUAUAAGCCUCAGACACAGCUCGGAUCUGGCAUUGCUGUGGCUAUGGCACAGGACAGCAGAUGCAGCUCCGAUUAGACCCCUAGCCUAGGAACUUCCAUAAGCCUUGGGUGUGGCCCUAAAAAGACCAAAACAAACAAACAAUAACAGGUAGGGAAAAAACACAUGAUAAGCUUGGCAGUAAAAGCAACUAUUCUUUCAAUAACUGAAUGAUUUAUUUACUAUUGUAAAGGUGAUUAUGUUUAGAACACUGGACAGUAAGUAGUCUAUGAAUACUUGAGGAUUUAAAAUACUUGACUACUUAAAAAAGGAACAGUUUGAGGUAAACACUUGUUAAGAAUAUGUGUGAAAUAAUACACAGUACCAUAAAUUUGAAAAGUAUGAAACUGAGGUAUUUCCCAGUUUUGAUUAUAUAUACCUUGCUUUCGGAAAUAAAAUCUCUUUCUGGAAACUGUCUAUAAAGUGAUUUUUUUUUUAAAUUC